rnacentral:rRNA from 1 species
UACAUGCAAGUCGAACGAACUUCCGUUAAUUGAUUAUGACGUACUUGUACUGAUUGAGAUUUUAACACGAAGUGAGUGGCGAACGGGUGAGUAACACGUGGGUAACCUGCCCAGAAGUAGGGGAUAACACCUGGAAACAGAUGCUAAUACCGUAUAACAGAGAAAACCGCAUGGUUUUCUUUUAAAAGAUGGCUCUGCUAUCACUUCUGGAUGGACCCGCGGCGUAUUAGCUAGUUGGUGAGGUAAAGGCUCACCAAGGCAGUGAUACGUAGCCGACCUGAGAGGGUAAUCGGCCACAUUGGGACUGAGACACGGCCCAGACUCCUACGGGAGGCAGCAGUAGGGAAUCUUCCACAAUGGACGCAAGUCUGAUGGAGCAACGCCGCGUGAGUGAAGAAGGGUUUCGGCUCGUAAAGCUCUGUUGUUAAAGAAGAACGUGGGUAAGAGUAACUGUUUACCCAGUGACGGUAUUUAACCAGAAAGCCACGGCUAACUACGUGCCAGCAGCCGCGGUAAUACGUAGGUGGCAAGCGUUAUCCGGAUUUAUUGGGCGUAAAGCGAGCGCAGGCGGUCUUUUAAGUCUAAUGUGAAAGCCUUCGGCUCAACCGAAGAAGUGCAUUGGAAACUGGGAGACUUGAGUGCAGAAGAGGACAGUGGAACUCCAUGUGUAGCGGUGAAAUG